GAUGAACGCUGGCGGCGUGCCUAAUACAUGCAAGUCGAGCGAACGGACGAGACGCUUGCUUCUCUGAUGUUAGCGGCGGACGGGUGAGUAAUACGUGGAUAACUUACCUAUAAGACUGGGAUAACUUCGGGAAACCGGAGCUAACACCGGAUAAUAUUUUGAACCGCAUGGUUCAUAAGUGAAAGACGGUUUUGCUGUCACUUAUUGAUGGAUCCGCGCUGCAUUAGCUAGUUGGUAAGGUAACGGCUUACCAAGGCAACGAUGCGUAGCCGACCUGAGAGGAUGAUCAGCCACACUGGAACUGAGACACGGUCCAGACUCCUACGGGAGGCAGCAGUAGGGAAUCUUCCACAAUGGGCGAAAGCCUGACGGAGCAACGCCGCGUGAGUGAUGAAGGUCUUCGGAUCGUAAAACUCUGUUAUUAGGGAAGAACAUAUGUGUAAGUAACUGUGCACGUCUUGACGGUACCUAAUCAGAAAGCCACGGCUAACUACGUG
rnacentral:rRNA from 1 species